rnacentral:rRNA from 2 species
UAUUGGGCGUAAGCGAGCGCAGGCGGUUUUUUAAGUCUGAUGUGAAAGCCUUCGGCUCAMCCGAAGAAGUGCAUCGGAAACUGGGAAACUUGAGUGCAGAAGAGGACAGUGGAACUCCAUGUGUAGCGGUGAAAUGCGUAGAUAUAUGGAAGAACACCAGUGGCGAAGGCGGCUGUCUGGUCUGUAACUGACGCUGAGGCUCGAAAGUAUGGGUAGCAAACAGGAUUAGAUACCCUGGUAGUCCAUACCGUAAACGAUGAAUGCUAAGUGUUGGAGGGUUUCCGCCCUUCAGUGCUGCAGCUAACGCAUUAAGCAUUCCGCCUGGGGAGUACGGCCGCAAGGCUGAAACUCAAAGGAAUUGACGGGGGCCCGCACAAGCGGUGGAGCAUGUGGUUUAAUUCGAAGCUACGCGAAGAACCUUACCAGGUCUUGACAUACUAUGCAAAUCUAAGAGAUUAGACGUUCCCUUCGGGGACAUGGAUACAGGUGGUGCAUGGUUGUCGUCAGCUCGUGUCGUGAGAUGUUGGGUUAAGUCCCGCAACGAGCGCAACCCUUAUUAUCAGUUGCCAGCAUUAAGUUGGGCACUCUGGUGAGACUGCCGGUGACAAACCGGAGGAAGGUGGGGAUGACGUCAAAUCAUCAUGCCCCUUAUGACCUGGGCUACACACGUGCUACAAUGGAUGGUACAACGAGUUGCGAACUCGCGAGAGUAAGCUAAUCUCUUAAAGYCAUUCUCAGUUCGGAUUGUAGGCUGCAACUCGCCUACAUGAAGUCGGAAUCGCUAGUAAUCGCGGAUCAGCAUGCCGCGGUGAAUACGUUCCCGGGCCUUGUACACACCGCCCGUCACACCAUGAGAGUUUGUAACACCCAAAGUCGGUGGG